rnacentral:rRNA from 1 species
CUAGUAACUGCGAGUGAAGCGGGAAAAGCUCAAAUUUAAAAUCUGGUGGCCUUUGGUCAUCCGAGUUGUAAUUUAGAGAAGCGUCUUCCGCGCUGGACCGUGCACAAGUCUCCUGGAAUGGAGCGUCGUAGAGGGUGAGAAUCCCGUCUUUGGCACGGACUCCCAGUGCUUCUGUGAUGCGCUCUCGAAGAGUCGAGUUGUUUGGGAAUGCAGCUCAAAAUGGGUGGUGAACUCCAUCUAAAGCUAAAUAUUGGCGAGAGACCGAUAGCGAACAAGUACCGUGAGGGAAAGAUGAAAAGCACUUUGGAAAGAGAGUGAAACAGUACGUGAAAUUGUUGAAAGGGAAACGCUUGAAGUCAGUCGCGUCGUCCGAGACUCAGCCUCGCCUCGGCUUGGUGUACUUCUCGGCCGACGGGUCAGCAUCAAUUUUGCCCCUUGGAUAAUGGCGAGGGAAAUGUGACACCUUUGCGGGUGUGUUAUAGUCUCUAGUCGCAUGCAAGGGUCGGGAUUGAGGAACUCAGCACGCGCCUUCGGGCGUCGGGGUUCGCCCACGAUACGUGCUUAGGAUGUUGGCGUAAUGGCUUUAAACGACCCGUCUUGAAACACGGACCAAGGAGUCUAACAUGCCCGCGAGUGUUCGGGUGGAAAACCCGUGCGCGCAAUGAAAGUGAAAGUUGGGACCUCUGUCGUGGAGGGCACCAACGCCCGGACCAGACCUUCUGU